rnacentral:lncRNA from 1 species
GUGACCCACCACCCCCUCUCUGACCAUGAGGCCACCCUGAGGUGCUGGGCCCUGGGCUUCUACCCUGCGGAGAUCACACUGACCUGGCAGCGGGAUGGGGAGGACCAGACCCAGGACACCGAGCUUGUGGAGACCAGGCCAGCAGGAGAUGGAACCUUCCAGAAGUGGGCAGCUGUGGUGGUGCCUUCUGGACAAGAGCAGAGAUACACGUGCCAUAUGCAGCACGAGGGGCUGCAAGAGCCCCUCACCCUGAGCUGGGGUGGAAAAGGAGGGAGCUGCUCUCAGGCUGCGUGCAGCAACAGUGCCCAGGGCUCUGAUGAGUCUCUCAUCACUUGUAAAGCCUGAGACAGCUGCCUGUGUGGGACUGAGAUGCAGGAUUUCUUCACACCUCUCCUUUGUGACUUCAAGAGCCUCUGGCAUCUCUUUCUGCAAAGGCACCUGAAUGUGUCUGCGUUCCUGUUAGCAUAAUGUGAGGAGGUGGAGAGACAGCCCACCCCCGUGUCCACCGUGACCCCUGUCCCCACACUGACCUGUGUUCCCUCCCCGAUCAUCUUUCCUGUUCCAGAGAGGUGGGGCUGGAUGUCUCCAUCUCUGUCUCAAAUUCAUGGUGCACUGAGCUGCAACUUCUUACUUCCCUAAUGAAGUUAAGAACCUGAAUAUAAAUUUGUGUUCUCAAAUAUUUGCUAUGAAGCGUUGAUGGAUUAAUUAAAUAAGUCAAUUCCUAGAAGUUGAGAGAGCAAAUAAAGACCUGAGAACCUUC